CAGUGAAUCUGUGGAGUCUCUGUGGUUUGGGAUCUGCAUGAUGUGUGCCGUACUAAAGGGCUGAGAGACGCAUUGCUGGGAAGCAGGCCCUGAAGACUGUUGGGGACUGCUACUGCCAAAACCGCUGACAAGGAUUCUCUAGGGACUGGUACAGUACCAAGUGAUUGGCGCAAGGCAAACGUGGUGCCCAUAUUCAAAAAAGGAUCAAGGUCCUCCACAGGUGAUGUAUCACUGGAAGAGUCACUUAUAAAGAAGAAUUUGGGUGUCCUUGUGGAUGGUACAUUAAAUUACAGCACACAAUGUCAAUCAGCUGCUUCUAAGGCCACCAGGAUAUUGUCAUGCAUUAAACAAGGCAUGGACUCGAGGGGCAGGGAUGUAAUGUUACCACUUUACAAAGCGCUCCUGCAGCCUCAUCUGGAAUACGUAGUCCAGUUCUGGCACCAGUGCAUAGAAAGGAUGCACUGCAGCUGGAAAAAGUACAGAGGAGAGCGACUAAAAUGAUAAGGGGCAUGCUGGAUCUUAGUUGAAGAAAGAUUAAAAUAAUUGAAUUAAUUUAGU